ensembl:lncRNA
CCCGCACUGCUUCUGUUGGAAACCACCGGGAUGGGGAGGGCCCCACGCGGAGGGGCCUCCGAGCAGCGCGGAACCUCCGCGGCCGCGCAGUGGAGAGGAGGCGCUGCCCCGGCUUCGGUGUCCGCUCAGCGCGGAGCUUCACCCACUUAAACCCCCUCUUGGUGCGCUCUUUUAAGCUCGGCGGGCCCGGGCAGGAUGUUUAUACUGAGCAAUGUAAACACGGGCUCGGGGGUGCUUUAAUAAAAAGAAAUCGGCGAAAACUCCCUCUGCCUCUCGAAAUGCCCUUUUCUGCCUCCGCCGCCGGUCCGGGGAUGGGAACGGGCUUCGGUCCCCUCUGCCGUUCCGAGGUUUCUUUGGGGCUCUUUCGCUUUCUUUCUUUCUUUCUUAUAUAUAUAUAUAUAUAUUUAACUUUAGGGGGGAGGUUGUUUAUAAAUCUGCGCUUCACAAACGGCUGAAUGCCGAGAGCCCCGUGCUCGGCUCGCUCGGAUGCCGCACACACAUUCACCGGGCUGGGGAAGGGGGGGGGGAACGGGACGGGAAGGAGAACGGGAAGGAAUAGUCCUUACCGCCCCCCCGCUUUCCUCCCAACCCUCCAGAAAAAAAAAAAAAAAAAAAAAAGCCCUUUUCGAGCAUCUUCCCAUCGGGAGGGCUGUCGCUCGCUCGAGGUAAGUCGCUUUAAAGCUUUGUCACCUUUCUUGCGCGUUUAAAUCCACGCUCGCGAUGGGGGCUGUUAGGGUCGGGGGUUGGGGGGGGACACGGCACGGCGGCAGCUUUGGCUGCGUAGGGUGCGAGAGGGGCAAUGUGCGGCUCUGAGGUCGGGGAAAGGAAGAGAGAAAGGAAAGAGAACACAGGGAAUAAGAAGAAAUUUUCCCCUUCCACCCCUCACCUCCCUCUAAACCCCUCCGACCGAUGCAGGCCGCGCUGGAGGGCUGCGCCGCUAAAGAGAGCAUCCCCAAAGCCCCCUCUUUCAGGUUCGCUUUUAAAGGAUAUAUAUAUAUAUACACACAUAUAUAUAUAAGUACUAUUAUUAUCACGUUUUGAAUGAUAAUUGAAGCCUUCUUAAAAAGAGGGGCAGCGGAUACCGAUCGGGUUUCCGAACUCCCUCCGCGUUAUUGGCGAGCAGUUGCGAGCAGCCUGCAGGGCGCCCGUCCCAACAGCACCGACAGGGAUUUCGCAUGGGGGGGCUUCCUUUUCUUCUUACUUUUUUUCCUUCCCCCCCCCCCCCCUUUUUUUUUUCUUUUUUUAAACCCUCCCUUCCUUCCCUUUCCCGUCGUUUUCUCCCGCUCCGCAAAUAAAAACAAAUCCCCGUGGGAAACGGAGGAGGCGGAGGGGGAAUUUUGGGGAUGGGAGAACCCCAGAGCAGGGAGGGCACGGAGGCAAACCUUAACCCCAAAUUGGCACUGUAGGAAGUCACCCCUCUCCCGUCUGCUCGCAGAUUUCGGGCGGACAGUGCAGAUAAACCCUCCGCUUAGCGAUGCUUUCUAUUUAUCUCGGGGGCAGCGCAUCGCUGAUUCCCCCCCCCCUCCCCACACACACACGCAAACCCACCCCGUGCCACGAAAUGGGUAUUUUUCACCACUCUGAGACCGAAUUCCCCCAUUAUUCCCCCAUUCUUCCACCCCCCCCUCCUCCCCCCCAAAAGAAACUCCCGGGAUGGAGCUCGGGAAGCGGCACAAAGAGACAGCACAAAACCCACCUUCAACCCCCCCCUCCCCACCUCCAGGGCAGCGCUCCCAUCGGGAAAUACAUCUCUGCGCGGAAAUCAAAGCGUUCCACUCCCGACAGAACCGCUCAAAGCGCCUUUCCCCCCUCCCCACCCCAUCCAGGAGUUUAGGUUUUAUUUUUCGGGGGUGUGAAGGUUCGGUUUCCGAUGGAUUUAUGCCGUCCGGAGGACGCUGACGUGGAAAUAGAUGGCUCCGAUUUUUACAGGCCUCGUGGUGGGAAUAGGAGGAAAGCUGGAAGGUUUUCUAUACGGCACAAAGAAACGGGGAGUUGAGUGCGGGACACGGGGGUGAGCGAGGGGGGUCGUCGGGUCUUUAUUGCUCUCCCCAGAAAUAGAACCUUAGGAUCGUGUAUAAGGGAAAGAAGUGCCUCCUGGGCCGGGCGGAGGAGCGGGGCUCGCUGGUUGCUGUUGUUUGCUGUCGGUUUGGCUGUUUGCAUCGGGUCCGCCCCCAGCGAAGGGGAAGGGGAGAUGGAGGGGGUAGGGGGGAGCAGGAAAAAAAUAAGAACUGGAAAAAGAAAAGGAUGAUCGGGAGCAAUGAGGCAAUUAGCCCCGCUAAUCCCGACCCGUUCUGUCCCGUUUUGCCGGACCCCGCUUCCCUCACGGCCUCUUCCCCCCCUUCCCCUCCCUGAAAGCGGGCCGUGUUUUGUGUAAAAAUAGACAAAUCCGAGCUUUCUUCCUUUUCCUGCGCCGAAGGUAUUUUUCCUCGCUAAUUGCUUAAGUGAAGUCAACCCCGCGAGCAGGCCGCGUGUAACCCGAGGAUGGAAAUGGAUCUAGGUGGGACCGGCGGGCGCUGCUCGGGGUGUUCCUGCCGCCCGGACCACCCAGAGAGAGGGGAGGGACCGCCGCAUGUCCCCCUCCCCCCCCACCCCUCCAUCCCCAUCCCCUCCUCCGCUGCUUCGCAUUAACGCCGCCCGCGGCCCCCCCCCAACCCGGCACUGCCCCCACUCCGCUCUGCUCUCGCAGUCCCCGCCGCCCCGGGUCCGUUGCGAAUCGAUCCCUAAACGUUUAUUUAGGGCCGAGGGGUGCGCCGUGCCGAAAGGCUUUAGGCUUUAUUCGGCCCACGUGCUGAGAUCUCCGCACCGAACCGAGCGAGGUGUCCCUCUGUUCCAACCCCCCCCCCCCCGCCUCCCCAUCGCCCUCAGAUCCUGAGAGCAAAAUUCCCCCCUCCCCUCCCCAAAACCGACGGCCGUGGGGAAAAGCUUUGCCCCACGCGUGUCCGUACGUGCACACAGGGGAGGACAUCCAAGAGGAAUUUUGGGGACGAAACCCAGCAACACUGGGGCUGCAGGGUUCUGCCAAGCUGAAGUUCAGGAGUUGGUCAGGAGGGAGAAGCGAAAGGAAAACCCGUACAGAUUUUCCCCCUCUUUGUCCCUCUUCCCCCACCCCCCCAAAACAACCCCCCAUCCCCCCCCCAGAAAUAAAAGCCCACAUUUUCCAUGACGUCCACCGGUGAAACGUUGCAGCGCAGGAAUGCACAGCCCUGACAGAGCCGCUCCCCGCGGCACACGGCCGUCCCAGCGCCCCGCAGCCCCCAUUACACGCCAGAGAUCUUUUAUAUAUCUGCGGGUGUUUAUAUCCCUGCUCGGGGACGGGGAGCUGGGAUGCUUUCCCAGGAGGGAUGCUGUGGGAGAGGGAAUAUCGGGAGAAGGGAUGGAGCUGAGCCGGAGAGCAACGAGAGAUGCUCUCGGCCGCCCCCGAUAAAACAAUUGAUCCUAAAGGCGAAGCGCAGAUCCGGGUUGAAACGGAUUUGGGGCGUCGGGGCUUUCUCCUACACGGUUUUCCUGAGGGGUUUCCCUCCAGCGACCCCAGUAGGAAAAGAAUUGGGGGUCGGGAGGGGAGAUCGGAGCUUAAUGUGGGUCUUUAAGGAAGGGAGAUGGGGACUCCCCGCUCCGUUCCUGCGCUUCCUCAGCGCGGCCCGAGAGCCGGGGCAGAUUCGGGGCGGUCCUCCCGGUACCGGGGCUUAAGAAGAGCCGAACCCCCGAGAAGGCACCCCGCUUCUCCCAGCUCCUUCGCAGAGCGCUGUGCCACGCAUAAAAAAACAAAACCCAUCGUUCUCAGCGUUUUUUUAGCCUCACAUUCCGGUGGGUGAGAGGUAACACGGGAACUUCGGUGCCUGCAAAACAUUUCGCUCCUCCGAGCCUUUCGAGGCUGGGAAUCACCUCCAUUUCCCCGACGUGCCCUGGAGAGAAACGGGGACAGCGAGGGGCUUCCCUGCGUCCGCACCCCGCCCGGCCCCGCCUGGAUCCCUCCAUUACCGAUCUCCAUUCGUUGGGUUUUCUUUUGUUAGUUAGUUGUUUGUUUUUUCCCCAACCCGAAACUAAAAUCCCCGUCGAAAUUCGAACCACAGCGCUGCACUCGGAGCGAGGGCCACCCGGUUCGGGGUUCCGUACAAAAUCCGCACGGGGAGCUGCGGGAAGUCACAGCGGAACGAACGCGAAGGGGUACGGCACGGGGCUGCUAUCCCCUGCCAGCCUCGGGGGACAGCGUGGACUUCGAGAUCGCUAUAGGGAAAAUGGCAGGGAACCCGGGAGGACCCUACGGUGCCCUCCCUGCUGUGGGAUUCUCGGAGGGAGAAAGGUGUUUUGCGAAGCAUCACGCGGCCCUGAGGGGACAGGAGGUGACAGCCCCACACCAAAUGUCCCCGGGCUCCCCAGCAUGGGGGUGUGAAAUGAAAUCCACGAUGAACGCCGUCUGUAAAUUACAGCCGCUCACUCCGAGGGGGUGAAGGGUCGGGGCUGCCAACCCUUUUUGCAGUGUCACCUGUCGUGCAGGGCGGCCCGGAGGGGCAAAAAGGGCACGGGGGUCCGCGGGGACACACGGCAAAACGAUCCACGCGGGAGGCGGCCGUUCCCCGUGGGGAGACGGAGAGCAUAGCGGCUCCCAGCGAAGGAUGCUGAGGGCAGGGAGAGCGCUGUGUCGGCCCUCGGGUACACGGGGGAAACCCGAAGCGGUUGUUUUUGGAUUGCGAGAAGGUCCCUGGGGCGGCAAAAGGGCUUUAUCCCUUUGUCCCUUUGCUUCGUGCCCAUAGGGUCCUGCCCUGCGCUGCUCAGGGAUCCACCUGCAAAUCCAGCCCCACAGCUCGGAGCAUCCCUCGGGGUUCCGGGGGAUAAAACGACCACUGGGGCCAUUUCAUUUCAAGCAUAGGAUGCAGAUGUCCGUGCAAAGGGCAGCACGCGUGGGGUGUGCCGGGCAGGGAAAGGCCGGCGGGGCUGCGUCCGAGGGGAACCUCCUGCGUUCUUAACCUUGCCUCUAUAAUAAAUCUCAGCCCCGCUCCAAACCUCCCCCCCCCCAGAGCCCAAAGAGAGGAGUUUCAGGACUGGCGUUCAUAAACAACGAAAAGAAUCCCCGUUGCAAACAGCUGCGGCUCCCUUUUCGCUUCUCCCCUCUUUGCAGAGAUCUGGGUUAGGCUUUCCACGGAAACCCUCCCGGCAGAAGCUAUUUUCCAGCACUUUUCUUAAUGAGCGAAUUCCCAAUUAACGGCGUAUCCCUUAUGUGGGGGACGCGACGGCUCCGUAAUGCACCACAGCGCGAGCUCUGGGGCCGUACUGUGGGGUGCUGUGGGUUUAUGGGCCCCACUUUUGCUUUCAGUUUCCCAGCACAGAACUAUAGAUAUAUAUAUAAACACUAAAAAAUUGGUUAAUUGCCUUUCCUACCUCCUUAGAAAAAAAAAAUACACAAAAGAGUGAGUAGUAAAAUUAUACUUUUUGGUCACUAAGUCAAAUAUUAUCAGCGAUAUAUAUAUGUGUGUAUAUAUAUAUAUAUGUAUACAUACGAAAGCAUAUAUGCAUAUGUGUGCUUUCAAAAAUGAAUUGCAGGGAAUACAGUGCUCGGUUGGUCGGCGUUCUGAGGAAGGUGUUGGGUGAGUGCAUGAAAUACCCGAUCCGAAGUGGGAAGGGUUUAUAUUAUGCCCCGCAGUUAAGCGGUUUCUGCGGCAAAAUCACUGCAGUUUUGUGAGCAUCGUGGGAAAGGUGCAACCAUUUCCCCCGGGUUUAUUGGGGAAUGGGGUGUGAGGGUGCGGGAGAGGGGGGAGGAAAGGAGAAGAAAGCUGAGGGGGAAGAAAUACUGGCGCAGAAUUCGCUAUAGGUUCGAAUAACGAAGCUAGAAAUGAUGCGGUUCUUCCUAUUUCAAACCCGCUUGCUGAACCGUAAAACGUCGCAGCGCGUUUUGCAGAACACCUUCAGCACCGCGCUCUGAUUCUCCCUUAAAUCUCACUGCUAAAACCGUCGCAAAGCCGUUUUGCAAAGAAUCCCUUUUAAACCGGUGUGCGUGGAACUGUCUGCCCGUUCCCGUAUCGGAUUUGGGGCUGUCUGCUAGCAAAGAUGCUGCGUGGCCGUGUAGCAAUAUUCCCCCCCCCACCCCUUCGGCCGCCUGAGUCGUUCGUUUUCCCUAUGGGAACGAUCCCACCCGCAGCUCCGAGUGGGACGGGGCCGUCUGUGUCCCUCCCCACGCAUGUGGGACGGGGCAGCCAUCGGGGAACGGUAAAGAGCAUCGAAAUGCUCCGUCUGCACGGCUCCGGUGGGCGGGGGGGACCCACGAGCAGGCAGGGGAUCCCGGCUGUGUGCAGCCGUAGGGAUGGAGGGAAAUACGCAGCGCCCGCACUUCGGGAAGGGGAGAUUUCGUUCCGUCGGUGGGGGAUGGAGAGAGCACCGGGUCCGGGCUGCCCUGAGAUCGGUCACUGAGAAGAGGAGGAUGUGGAGAUGGGGAGUGGAGGGGGACAUAGUGCCGGGAGUGGGGGGAGAGUGCAAGCGGGGAAGGAGAAAGGUGGGGGAAAAAAGGACGACGUGCAGAAACAAGGCAGAAAAUAAAGAGCGGGGGACAGAGAGAGAAAAAAAAAGGAAGAAAAAUACAGAAAAGAGUGAAAGACAGACAGAGAAAAAAAAUGAAGAAAAGGGAGACAGCGAGAAAAAGAAAGAAAGAAAAGAGGAAAAUAAACGAGAAAGGAGGGAAAGAAAGAUGGAAAGAAAUAUAUAGAGAAAAGAAAAAAUGAGAAAAUGAAGGAAAGAAAGAAUGAAUGAAUGGUGAAAGACAGAAAAUGAAAGAAAGAAGAAAGGAAGGAAAGGGCAAAACAGAAGAAGGCAAAACAAAGAGAAAAAGAAAAAAAAGAAAAAGAAAAAAAGAAAAAAAAAGAGAAAAGAGAAAAACGAAAGAAGGAAAGGAAAGGAAAUGGGAAAAGGAGGAGAGAAAGAAAAAGGAGAAGAGAAAGAAAAAGGAUAAAAAACGAAAGGAGAAAAAAAGAAAAAGAAAAAGAGAAAGAAAAGAAAAAAGAAAAAGGAAAAAAAGAAGAAAAAGAGAAAGGGAAAGAAAAAGAAAAAGAAAAGGGGAAAAAGAAGAAAAAGAAAAAUAGAAAGAAAAAGAAAAAUAAGAAGGAAAGGAAAAGAAAAAGGACAAAAAUGAGAAGAAAAAGAAAGGAAAAAGGGAACGAAAUAAGGAAAUAGAAAUCAGAGUGUGAAAGAAAUAGUGAACAUUAGAAAGCAUAAGAGUGCAUAAACAAACGAAAUAAAGGAGAGAAUGCUAACAAGUAAAACAGAAAUGAAGAGAAUGGGAAAGCGAGAAAUAGUGAAAGAAAGACAAAGAAAAACGGGGAAGUAGAAAGCGAAAAAAAAGAGGGAAAAAUAAAUAAGAAAAAUAGAGAGAAUGAGAAAAAGUGAGAGUGAAGGGGAGGAAAUAAAGAAAUAAAGAAAAAAGAAGUAGAAAUGAAAAAAAGAAUAAAGAAAGAGGAAGGGGGAAGGGAGAGAAGGAGAAAAGAAAGGUGGAAGGAGAAAGGAGAAGAGAGGGAAAAGAGUGAGAAGGAAAGAGAAGGAAGGGAGGAAGGGAGGAAGGGAGGAAGGGAGGAAGGGAGGAAGGGAGGAAGGGAGGAAGGGAGGAAGGAGGAAGGGAGGAAGGAGGAAGGAGGAAGGAAGGAAGGAAGGAAGGAAGGAAGGAAGGAAGGAAGAAAAGAAGGAAAGAAGGAAAGAAGGAAAGAAGGAAAGAAAAAGAAAAAAGAGAGGAAGAAAGAAAGAGAAAAGGCAAAUGAACGCCCCGCAAAGCCAAUCUCAGGGCGCAGUCAGGGCGGUCACCCAGGCACGCAGCGCUGUCGGGUCAGAGCGGCGCGGCCCCAUCCCGUCCCAUCGGGAGGUGCCGCUCACCGCAUCCCUCCGCACCGCCAACCGGGGGAGAAAAGCCCCGAACACCGCGUUCCAUAUUUCGAGGAGUUCUGCGCGCUUUCGGGGGGUUGAAAUUUCGCUUUGAUGUUUUAUUGCCUCUCUCAUCUUUUCCUGGAGAGAGGAACCGGCGCUGUGUGAGCACCCCGUACCCCCAGCCCCCCUUACCCCCGGGCAGGGCCACAAACGAGAACUGCCAUUUCACACCGAUUUCACACCGAUUUCACACCCAUUCCACCCAUUUCACACCCAUUUCCCCGGGGUUGCCCCGCUCCGCUGCUGCCCCGCGGCUCCGCGCAAAUUGCGCGCCCGCUCCGCGCCUCCUCUGCCUGCGGUCGGUCCCGCAUUCGCUCGGCCGGCUCCGUAGGUGGCCGUGUAUAUUUUUGUUGAAGUAGUGUUUAUGUUAAUGAAAAAGUCUGAGAUUACAAACAGACCACUGAACGCCCGGGAUGUUGCUGCCGGAUUGGUCUACGUUGUGUAUUUUAAACCUAAUCAGGAGCAAAUAUGAUUUCCCCCCCCCCCCUCCCGUGUAUGUGUGUGUGUGCAUUAUUUUUAGCAGAAAGACGUACGGGAUGUUUGGGGAGCCCCGUGCCACCCCUGUCCCUUUACCCAGUGAUUUCGGAGCUAUGUUUUUCCCUGUGUGGCUGGGGAGGGAGUGGGGAUGCAGGAAGAGGUGUCAGAGCAGCUAUCCGAGAAUUACCCCCAGAACAACGAAAACGAUCCCAUUGCUCCUGGAAAGGGAAAGGAAGGGCUCAGCUCACCCCCCCCGAGCUCCCUCCGACCCCAUAGAGGGGUUUCCAUGCGCCGGUGGCAAACGGGUGCGCGUCCCUAAAGCCUCGCCUAAGGGAUGGGGUAUCCUUUCCUUUGGGUAUUUUCUUUGCCGGGAAUUGCUGGGCACAACCUGAAAUUUGCAUCAAAAACCCCUUCUAAUUCGGCAGUGAAAAAUGCCAUUUACAAUUUGCCACAUGAAAAAAAAAAUAGAUAAAUAGGCAGAUAUACUGAUAGAUUUCAGCCCUUGUAAAUGCCAAGUGUGCAGCAAUCAGUUCAUCCAUUGCUUAAAAGUGGAGGUCCGGAGAGCUUUUGGGUUUUUCUUUCAGGAGGGAGCUGUGAUUUUCUUUGAUUUCAGAGCCUUUUGGGGUCCCUUUGAUUCCGGUUUCCUUAACAAAAAAAAUCACUUCUGGAACCCCCUCAGCUGCUCCUAUCUCCCCUUCCGUUGCUGUGCUGGUGAAGGUUCAAAGAAAAUAACCCGAUUUUUGCAGACGUUCCUCUGCUGAUCGAUCACUCCCAGCACAGAGGGAUGCAUUUGGGGUCCCGGCAAAAGGGUUUCUCCCCCUUGACAGCUUUGCAAGCAACAGUGAGGCGGCUUUGGCAUCGCCUUCCUUCCCAAUAUUUGCCUUUUGUGGGCAAAAGCUGUCGGUGGAGCAGAGCUCUCCGGCACGGCCAGCCGGAGGAUUUGUGCACUCCGAUGUUUUACUACUGUUAUGAUUCCUCAUUGACUGAAAGUACAAAGAAAAUCGCCGUGUAAACAAGUCGCCGUCUGAAGGGGAUGUGGGCGAAAUUCGGGGCAAGCAGAACCUCAGCAGGGAUUUAAGGGAAGAAGGGAAACAAGGGGAAAACACGACAAUCCUGUGCAAGGUUUUCUCUAUGCAAUGGCAGUAUCACUUCGGAGCUGUGCAGGGUUUUUUUUCCCCAUGUUUCAUGGGGCAGAGGAGAGCCCUAAAGUGGUUUUUUCUCCCUGAGAAUAUCUGGAUGGCAUCAGUCUGUCUCCCCACAGAAAGAAGUAGGUUCCAGCAUGAGGCUUAGGGGGUUUCUUCAUUCUCCCACCUGGAACUAGCAGUUUUUUUUUCCAUGAAACUGUAUUUUUUGCAUUCUUCCUUUUGAGGGGGUCAAUCCCCCCCCUUUUCUUUUAACCUAGCAACAUUAAGCAACGCUGCAGAGGGAUUGUCAACACUACAGCAUUUGGCUUUGGGGAUAACACCACUGCUGUCAGAGCCAAGGUAGGCCCUGCAGAGGUGGGGAGCAGCAGGAUGGAGGUUGAUGCCCCCCCCAGCGCUUGCCCCCAGUUGCUCACCCCAUGGGCAGCCCCCAUGGGGUGACCCACUGAAGGACGGGGACAGGGGAUUGUCCCCACCAUGGCACACACAUGCAGACAUGUGCACACACAUGUGCACGCGUGUUCACGCGCACACCCUCCUCUAACCCCGCAUCCGACCACGCCGCUCCCGAGCAGCGCUAAUGAUGCCGCAGCACCAGCGAUGCGGUGCGAGGCAAAAAGCAGAUGAAAGUGAUGUCACAUUAAUGUCAGCUCACAACUCGAGCCCACACAGCCUUGAUUGCUCUUAUUAAUCUUGCCAAUUUGUCUGUCAGCACUCAACUAAUCCCUAAAUAGCCUCCCAACAGGUGCUUUAUGCUUCCGCCACAUCGCUGCUCCCCGGCAUCCCCCACCCUUCCCCCCCGAGCCCCGGAGCCCUCCUCGGUGACACCGUCUCUCUCCUGUCCAUCUGGGAGCAGCUCCUUCCCCGGGAGGGCUGGAGGGAGAGAGGCGGCUUUGCAGAUGUUGUUUAGUCUGUGCACAGAGGGCGCGGAGCUGGGGGCUUCCAAAUGGAAGCGAUGGGAGGCGGGGAGGGGAUGCUGGAGAAAAUCACCUUGGGUUGGGUGGGGGUAAAUGGGGGAUGAAUAACACCCCCCCCCCCCCAACCUGGAGUUUGCUCACAUCACUGUGAAUAUCUGCACUUAUAGCACACGAUGGUUGCAUUGCUUUUAUGUAUCGCUGGCUUGUUGGUUUUAUUGAGAGGGGAGGAAAGCGUAGCGCAAAACCGAAGCUGCAGUGGAAAAGCCACAUUACACCCUGAGCAGCUUUAUCCUGCAAUUAAGCUGAGGGUCAAACAUUUCCUUUGCUGUGCUAUCAGAAAAUCCACUGGCUUAUUGCAGUGUAUAUUUAGCUGUGAAGUUCCCGCUGAGCUCAGAGUGGAAGGCUGAAAUUAUUGUGCUCCAUCCUCCCAGCACUCUUAUUUAGCACAGUAGUUUUAAACACAGGUUUUGCAUGCAGGAAACCCUACGAACCACUAAAGUGGAGCCUAAGCUGCUUUCCUGCAUUAAAAUAAAAAAAAAAAAAGAAAGAAAAAAAGGGAUAUAUAUACAUGUAUUUUGGUUUGGCAGCUCGCUGCAUGGAGCAGCUCGCACGCAGCCUUCAGCCCCAUGCACUGCAGCUCACCUGGAGGAUGCUGUGCUCUGCAGGAGGAGCUGCCAAACCCGGCUCUGCUGGAGCAGGCUCCAGUUUUACAUCCGAAGUUGGCUCAGGCUGCUUCCAGCCCUGCGCUCAGCACUGCAGGAAGGAAGCUUUCAGGGCAUCCUCCACUGCUCUUCCAAGAGAUUCACCAAGGGGAGCCUACCCGCUGCUAGCGCUUGGGGCUGCUCAUCAUUAACCCUUGGGUGCUUCAGAUCAGGUCCUGAAAGCCCUCUAAAAACACCAUUUGCAACCUCAAGCCGUUUCCCUCUAUCCUGACCUGGGUUUAUUAUCGGGAGACAGAUAGAUUUUUCCUUCUUUCUCCCCAUCCAUUUAUUUCAACCAAUAAGACGAUCCAUCACGGCGAGCUGGAACCGACCUACGAUCCGGGGAUAUUCUUAGAUACUCAGCAUGUCAGGAAACGGCUCACAGCCCCACUUGAUGCAAAUAUUUGGACGAGCGAGAGGUAGGAAGGAUUGUCCAAAUGUUUACUGAAGGCUGUUGAUAGCCCAAGGAUUUAUAACUGGCGCAUAAUGCCUGCCCCCACACAGCUCCUCUAGCAGGUGCAUCCAGUUUCAGCAUGACACAUGGUAUGUGCGUGCUCUGGGAACGGGGAUGCAGGAGAAAGUGCUUUCACAGGUCUCGCCUCCCUCUUCCCAUCUUCAUUAAGGUUUGGAGAGGCAAGGCAGGAGCUCAGGAUCAGCUCUGGUGAUAGAGAUCCCCAGCAGCAAUUUACACCUGAAGGCAAAACUUAAGCAUCGAGCCCGUUUGGUUGGAAUUUCCCAAGUGAAACCAAGGCUCUGAAUUAUUUAGGCCCAUUGUCACACUCCUUCAGUGCUGAGAUGGAGAAAUUCACAUCAUUCUAGCUAUUCCCCUUUCCAUUUCACUUCCUAACUCACACCACCAGGGUUUGAUCUCUUCUUCCCCACAGUAAUCCCUAAUUACUGUUGGGGGGACAUCACUGCCAACUGAUUGGGUUUAACCUUUUCUGGUGUCCAAGGAGGAGCAGUUUUUUGGUGGCUUUGAGGACCCCAAUGGAAAUGCCCCAGCACCCACUGCCAGACAGCCCCUACACCACUGACAGAGAACAGCAUGCUCAGAGCAGAGCACGUUGGCCAACUAGAGUUGGAGAUACACUCAAGGAAAGCUUUAGUACCUUGCCCAAGGCCAACGAGCAAUGGCAUUCAAUGGCAGAAAGAAGUCAGUUUGCUGAUACCCUGUCCUGCAUAACCCGUCGCCUAGAUGCCCUCAGGUUGCAGGGAGACAUCAGAUGGCUCCAACACAACCUCCUGCUCAAAGCAGAUCCAUGGCUCAUGCAAGAUCAGUCCACUAUAGCUUUGUGUAGCUGAGCCUUGAAAACCUCCAAGGACAAAGCCCAGCAGCCAUGCAUAUGGAUAGUUCAGGCAGCAGAGGAGCUGUUGGUGCCCUUGUGCCCAUCCAACCAGGCUCUCAGACUCUGCCAUCAGCUCAGUGGCUGCUUUGUCUGUAAGCAUUCCUACAUUGCAUUACUGAGAAUCCUGUGGAACAGGAGAAAUGGGCACGGAGCUGAAUCACUCAAGUCUGCUAAUUGCCUUUUCCUCAACCAUUCAGUAGGUUUUGACUAUGCUAGGAACAAGAACGCAUGCACUCAGCAUGCUGCAGACGCCCAGACAACGUGCUUUUCUGUGUAACUAGCAGCAAUUGUAUCUGCUGCAGAACAGCCUUUAAUUCAUUGCAGCCCCGGAUGGCAGAGUUUGCUGACUGCUCAGGCAGGAAUACAAUGGCCCUAUUGUUUUGCUAAGGGAAGAUUUCUUUGUUGCAUGCUGCCGUGUAAACUGUAUGUUUUCUAUCUGUUACCUGAUUCGUUUCGAUGGAAUCCCUUAGAUAGGCUUAAGGCAAUCUGCUGUCCUGCACUGGAGCAAUGGGAGAAACUCUGGGAGGCUGAGGACCUGGCCAUUUGUGUUACCUCUAUUUGGCUUGCUUGGAAAGAAGGAAGAGAAUUUGGUGUUCUUCAUGGGAGCAGAAAUUGAGUAAUAAAAUAGACGGGGAAAAAUGUAGUAAGUGCUCAAAUUCCAAAGUCAUCUGCUGUGCUCGAUGAAGGUUUUCUUUAUAUAUCAAAAGAAUUCGGUCCUGGUUUUGGUGUCACAUUCUCAGCAUGACCUUAAAAAUGUAGCUGUAACUCAGACUAAUCCGGACUUCUCUCUCCUUAAACCUAUUGCUCAACAAACACCCAACAGUGUGGAAAUGUGUUUCCUAGAUGAGAAUCUUGAGCCAUCAAUGGGCCCCAAGCCAGAGGGAUUCUGCAAAUGCACAUGGUGGUCAUGUUGUGCACAGCCCAAAGCCUUCUUCACAGCUGUGCCAACCAUGCUUCCGUACCAAUCUCUCCAAUUUCUCUUCGUGUUAGCAGUGGGAUUAUCUCCCUGGACUUGUUGGGUUGUGGUAUGGGGAUAGUCUCCCUAUAGAUCUCCUUCCACAGGUGCUUCUCUCCCCAGACCCUUUGUGUAGAUAUAGUAAAGCAGGGGUUUAAAAGAUUGGUAAAAGGAUUGGAUUUAAGGCGUUGCAGCCCAAAAAUACAAUCCUAAAACCUGAAUUUGCCUGUCAUCUGAACCCAGAUGCAUCCACACGGCAUGGGGGCAACAGCAAGCUGUGGCAGAAGAGAGGGUCUUGUGCAGAUAUGUUCUCCGGUCUCUGUCACAGCAGUUUUAGGAGAGGAAGACUAUGGAAAUCCAGUUAAAAACUGCAAAACCAGUAGGAUCUGGGCCAGGCUUAACCAAAGCAGAAAUAAAUCAGCUCAGCCACUGGUGUGUUUCAGUGCAUUUGGGCUAGAGGCGAUGUGGGCGACGGCUUGUGGUCCAGACCAGCAUGGUGCUUUUAGCUAUAUAUAAUUAGAUGUUUUUUCUACUGCAAACCAUUACUGACAGAUUGAAAGGGUUUUAUUCCACAGGAUUUUUCCUGCCUCGUCUGCCAGGGAACAAGCAGGCCUCACUCAAGCUCUGCUUCGUUGGUGUAAAUCACAGCAUGGGGCUACCUUAUCUCAGCCAGAGCCCCCGUGCAGGAAUGCUGCUCUGUCCAGCCCUCAGGCCACCCACCCCUGAUCCCGGGCUCCAGCAUCUGCUCCAGGCCCAAGCUCUGACCCUUCAGAGACAUAUUUUUGCAAGGUCAGGAGGUUGGGUGGUAAAAGGGGAGUGGAGAAUAGCAGGGGAACAUUGAAGGCUGGCUCUGCAAAGGGAUUUCAGGAGGAUGUUUACACUCGCCAUUAAAUGCAGGCUCGAGCCUGUUCUCUUCUCCAGAUUCACCACCCAUCUGCACUGUUUGCAUGCAAGCAUGCAUGAGGCACAGGCACAGUCCCAGCUUCAAAGCCUUCUGGAUGAGGGUGGUCCAUGCAUACUCUGCACCCUCGGGCCUUGGUUCUGCAACUUGGGCCAAGAAGAGCAAGGCAGGAGCAGUAAGACAGCCAGCCCUGCUGUGCAUUGCUGGGUCCUUCACAGGGCAACAAGGAUGCUUUCAGCACCAGUAAAAAAGUCAUACAGAAAAGCCAUAUGGAAGAGAGGUGGAAGAAGGGCCUGAUGUAGCUCUGGGCAGCCUGGUCUGGUGGUGGCGACCCUGCACGUAGCAGGGGUGUAGAAACUCAAUGAUCAUUGUGGUUCUUUUCAACCCAGACCUAUUCUAUGUUUGGGUCAAAGAAUGAUUUCAGAUGGAAUUUUUCUCUGAAAUUUCUGCUGCAUUUGUUUGGAAGGGCCACUAACUGCCUUCAUCCAAGAAACAGCUGCAAAGGGGUCUCUGGACGUGGUCUGACUAUCAUCAAGAACAAGGAGAGACUGUACUUGCAUCACUCCAAGAGACAUUUCAAUUAAGAGAGGGCAUUCCAAGCAAAAUUCUAAUUUUCUUAAACUGUUAAACUGAAAAUGGGUUUACAACAUGACUUUUUGCACAGACAUUUGUGUAUAAUUUUUUUCCUGAACGAAGAGGAAAAUGUCAUUUCCUUUCCUGUAAGAGCUGAUCUCUACAUAGCAGAUGAAGACUCCAACCUUUUCCCAAUGAAGUUAAGGGUUCGCUGUCCAAUAGAGUGGGUUGUGUGGUGAAUUCUUCCCUAACUACUCACUGCAGUAAACCAUCCCAACUGCUACUGCAAGUGGUUGAAUCACUAAGCCUGAGCUCCGGGAAGCCAGCCCCAUCCAUCCCAGCCCAAGCUGUACCUCCCUGGGGCUGGGUGCCAUCCCCAGUGGUUCCGUUCCCAUUCAACAGCCCCGAGGCCAAACCACCCACCGUAGCAUCCAUGAGUACAAUUCCCAUUCCAGCCCUUGCUUUCCUACAUGGAAGCUUGCAUCCUUCCCUCCUCCCUCCGCCCUCCCUGGUGGUGCAGCUGCUCGGCUCUGCGAGGGAAAGGCUCCCAGAUGUGCUUGAGAGGGAGCGGGCAGAGUCCCGAAUUCCACUCCGUGCUGAGCGGACUCUUUGUAUAUUUUGUUUUAAGGAGAAAAUAUGCAUCGAGUCCUCGGAGAAAGGCUGGGGACCAGGCACGUCCCUGUGAUCACACCGAGCACAGGGACUGCAAGCCAUCCACCCUCGGCUUUUCUCUGCUUGUGGGAUGGCAGCUCUCAGCACCAUCAGCAGCUGAAGCCCAUCUGCAUUACACAACAGGUCCUUCAACCCUUCACUGCCUCGAAGCACCCUUCCAGAAAAUGGGAUUUUCUGCUAAAAGAAACCCAAAAAACAGGCACCUAACCGCCCACAUUUGGUAUUUUUGGCUCACGAGCCGUGUGCCAUAUCAGAUCAAUAAAUAUUCACACACUCCUAAGUGCUUUGUGAAGUAGGCUUCGUUGCAUUUCAAGCACAUUUAGCUGUGGCACUUGGUAGCUACAUGGUUAUUGCGUGAGACAGUACAUUUAUGAAGUGUUGGCCUUCACUUAGUUAAUCACUUCAUUGAUGUGCAAUAUAAAAAUAGUAUGAAACUAAUUGUUUCCAUAGAAACAGGAACCCAGCAAAUUAUUUCGUAUCACAGCUUGGCAAAAGAAAAAGAAGAAACUGCUGUAAUUGUUCCCAUUAGCAAAACACAGAGGAUUCAUGCUCAAUCUCUACUACACUCAGCCUCACUCCUGCUGUGAAUUAAGGGACGAAAAGUCAGCACAGAACCACAGAAAAAAAGCACAGAAACAAGCUGUGCUUUAUUGAGUAUUUGUUGUUCUGCCACCAAAACAAUUUCCCUUCUGCUUUACAGGUUUCUGGCCAGCAGCUCCAAGGACUGUCACAGCCAUGUUGUGCGUUUGGGAACGUCAUGCAAUGGGGCUUUAACUGUGAAUGGAGGACAUCCUGGCCCCACUAUGAGUGGGAUAAGAACAACUCUCACCUCAAGGGGUGCACUGAUGACAGAGCCAGCUCCCACCAUCUGUGGAUUUCCUCAUCCUGGCAGCUCAGUGGGGAGCAGCAGGUCCUAGCUAAAUGCCUUGUGGUCCAGAUGCCAUGGACCAUCCCCCCUGGAUUCAAUAAGAGCAGUGCCCCUACAACACCAUGGUGAGCAGUUGCAUGGAGGUUUGAGCCAUCCCAGGGUGGAGAUCACCUUCUCCAUCCCCACAUUUGCCAUAAGCCCAAACCCAGCCCCAUCACAUGCAAUGAUAAAAAGGGAACUGGCAGCACAAAACUCAUCGUGAUUUCCAGGCUGAUGUCUGCACAGCCCUACUGGCUUCUCCGAAAGAACCAAGAGACACAAACCUGUUCUGUCCUAAGGUUUCCCAUUAAGCUAAUUACUGCUAAUUGUACCACUUGGCUAUCUCACCAACCGCACCCUGAGCAGGGCUGAUAGGGUAUCAGUGAGAUAAGAAGCACUCGAAUAGCACAGGUAACAGAACUUUGGGAGGGGUUAUCACCCCUACCACCCUCCUUUGGGGGACACUGAGGUCAUAAGGAUGUGUGCAGGGGCUGGCACACAACUAUUAGCCUUUCAGGAAAUGCUACCGAGGGGUUUUGGUGACUGUUCUCUGCAAGUUGCAGAGAAGCAAGCUGGCAUUCAUUUCAUAGUAAUUCCUUUAAAUUCACUUAGCAUGCGGAUUAUUUGUAUGAGCUGUUUUUGUUGCGUUAACACAACACUGUGGAAAUGGAGGUUUCAUUAUUUCUCCAUUUUUUCCCCCCUCCCACAGAGAAAUAAAUGCUGUUCUUUUAACAAAUGCUGUAUUUCUCACUUCAUUUCUGAUUUCUCCCCAUCUCUGCUGGCCUACCUGAAGCAAUUCAGCUCCCACACUGGCACUAGGUAGGGAUUACUAUCACCUGCUUACUAAAGAAGAGACUUGGACAAGGUGCUCUUAUUUGAAAACAUUUUUGGUACAUGACUUGCAAUAAGAUACUUGGAAUUUUCACACUCAGAGACAUAUUUUGUUAGGUGUAUUGUCUCCCCA